ensembl:misc_RNA Metazoa_SRP Metazoan signal recognition particle RNA
GCCAGGCAUGAUGGCAGGUGCCUGUAAUCCCAGCUACUCAGGAGGCUGAGGCAGGAGAAUCACUUGAACCUGGGAGGUGGAGGUUGCAGUGAGCCAGGAUCGGGCCACUGCAUUCCGGCCUGGAUGACAGAGCGAGGCUCUGUCUCAAAAAAAAAAAAAAACAAAAAAACAGGGCCUCACUUUGUCGCCCAGGCUGGAGGCCAGUGUUGAAUGUUGGCUCACUGCAACCUCUGCCUCUUGGGUUCAAGCAAUCCUCCUGCCUCA